rfam:Triticum aestivum genome assembly, contig: Triticum_aestivum_CS42_TGACv1_scaffold_623934_7DS
UACUUACUCCCUCCGACCGGAAAUACUUGUCGAAGAAAUGGAUGUAUAUAUACAUUUCUCCGACAAGUAUUUCCGGGCGGAGGGAGUAUUAU